AUUGAACGCUGGCGGCAUGCCUUACACAUGCAAGUCGAACGGUAACGCGGGGCAACCUGGCGACGAGUGGCGAACGGGUGAGUAAUGUAUCGGAACGUGCCCAGUUGUGGGGGAUAACUGCUCGAAAGAGCAGCUAAUACCGCAUACGACCUGCGGGUGAAAGCGGGGGAUCGCAAGACCUCGCGCAAUUGGAGCGGCCGAUAUCAGAUUAGGUAGUUGGUGGGGUAAAGGCCCACCAAGCCAACGAUCUGUAGCUGGUCUGAGAGGACGACCAGCCACACUGGGACUGAGACACGGCCCAGACUCCUACGGGAGGCAGCAGUGGGGAAUUUUGGACAAUGGACGCAAGUCUGAUCCAGCCAUGCCGCGUGCGGGAAGAAGGCCUUCGGGUUGUAAACCGCUUUUGUCAGGGAAGAAAAGGGCGACUCUAAUACAGUUGCCUCAUGACGGUACCUGAAGAAUAAGCACCGGCUAACUACGUGCCAGCCGCCGCAGUAAUAC
rnacentral:rRNA from 1 species